rnacentral:rRNA from 1 species
UACGUAGGUGGCGAGCGUUGUCCGGAUUUACUGGGCGUAAAGGGCGUGCAGGCGGUUUGUUAAGUGCAGGGUGAGAGCUCCCGGCUCAACUGGGAGAGGUCCUUGCAUACUGGCGAACUCGAGGGAGGCAGAGGAAAGUGGAAUUCCCGGUGUAGUGGUGAUAUGCGUAGAUAUCGGGAGGAACACCUGUGGCGAAGGCGGCUUUCUGGGCCUUACCUGACGCUGAGACGCGAAAGCGUGGGGAGCGAACCGG